rnacentral:ncRNA from 1 species
UUAUCCCGUGGUGAUUUGGCCGGUCGGCUUGCAGCCACGUUAAACAAGUGGCUAAAAGGACCGGGGUGAA